UUAAAAAGCUCGUAGUUGGAUUUCUGGGAGGGUGCCAAUGUCCGUCAACGUGCGUGUGCAGCGGCGCCCUUCCAUCCUUCUGUUAACGCCUCUGGGCAUUUAUUUGCUGGUGGCGGGCUCAGAUAUUUUACCUUGAGAAAAUUAGAGUGUUUCAGGCAGGCUAGGCCGGAAUACAUUAGCAUGGAAUAAUAGAAUAGGACUAUGGUCUCUUUGUUGGUUUGAGGGACUAUGGUAAUGAUUAAUAGGGAUAGUUGGGGGCAUUAGUAUUUAAUUGUCAGAGGUGGAAUUCUCAGAUUUGUUAAAGACUAACUUAUGCGAUAGCAUUUGCCAAGGAUGUUUUCAUUAAUCAAGAACGAAAGUUAGGGGAUCAAAGACGAUCAGAUACCGUCCUAGUCUUAACCAUAAACUAUGCCGACUCGGGAUCGGGGGCGCGAACUAUCCGCCUUCGGCACCGUAUGAGAAAUCAAAGUCUUUGGGUUCUGGGGGGA
rnacentral:rRNA from 1 species